rnacentral:lncRNA from 1 species
AUUUUGACCUUGAAUGGAGCAAGCAAAGUAAGAAUAGGUAGAUACCAAGUUGAAAAUUAGGUCAUUCAAGGGUCAUCAGUCAUCAUAGCAAGCAAAAGUAUUUCCGCAUGGUUUGAUUAUCUUGCAAGUGGAUUUGUAGGAAUUAGCUAACCAAUCUUGACAUUACAAUUAAAUCCUCACUAAACACAAAUCUUUGACUAAAUCAUCGACCCUGGAACUCCCAAACCAAUAUUAAAGCUCAAAAGUGUGACAUUCUCAAAAAGAAGACCACAAGCCGAGAACCUUUUGAUGAAACUAUAUUAUUGUAUAUCGUCAAAAAUGAAUGAAUACAGUUCCGUUUCAAUGACCAAGCACACUUACAGUCGAGUUGAUACGAAGAACAGUGCCCUUUCUCUGUGAUUAUAUGACGUGCCUAGUCACAUUCCAAUAAUUUUGUAGCUAUACUGUGACGUUGAACAAGUAAACCCUCAGUACCAAAGCAAGUGCAAGUUGCAACAGGAAG